CACCUCAAUGUUCACUGCAGCACUAUUUACAAUAGCCAGGUCAUGGAAGCAACCUAAAUGCCCAUUGACAGACGAAUGGAUAAAGAAGAUGUGGCACAUAUAUACAAUGGAAUAUUACUCAGCUACAAAAAAGGAACGAAACUGGGUCAUUUGUAGAGACGUGGAUGGACCUAGAGACUGUCAUACAGAGUGAAGCAUUCAGUUCACGAAAACGAGAACCAUGACAAUGGCCAGUGGCAGCAUACCCAGACAUCACUGAAAAAGAAUAACUGUGUCAUGUUGAUGACAGACAGAAGAAUACGUAAAACCGAAGGAAGGAGGUAAAAAACCAAAACAGAGCAUACUGCACAAUAUUCGGAAAAGAAUUUAGGACUGGGCAUGGGGGAGAAGGGGACGUGAAAGCUGUCGACGAAAAUUCAAUUAAUGAUCAAGUUAAGAAGAAAAAAAGGGAAUUUUAUAUGAGCCAAACUGAGAAUUAUAACCCGGGAGACAGACUCUCAGAAGCUCUGAGAACUUGUUCCGCCUGUUAGAAGUCGAAGGCACAGUCAUAUACAUUUUUGAGACGAAGGAUGGUACAUCAAAAUGACGUACUGAUAUUUUACAUAAAGUUCACCAAGGAUACAUGGUCCAGCAAUGACACCCUUUCCCCAUCCGCUUCCUUGCAGACAACCAAUGAUAUCAGUUUCUUGCAAGCCUUCCACAGAUAUUUUAUGUACAGUAAGUCCCCUACAUACGAACCUUCAAGUUGCGAACUUUCAGAGAUGAGAACGUGUGUUCGCAUGUCCAAUCAUGUCUCAGCCUAAACCUCUGUCUCUCAUGCAAGAUGUGCCAACGUCUGCCUCCCAACCGAAAUCAGAUCCGCUGACCGCUCAUCAUCGUGGUGUCUUUUCAUGGUGCUGCUGGCAGCUUGAAUAGACAAACUCUUAGAGAACUUUAGAUGACUGCAGCUCCAGGUGAAACCUGAAGAAUAAAACCUCAUGAGAAACCCUGAGCCAGAACAACCCAUUUUCUUCAUCUUUGAAAUUGGAUAGAUAAUAAGAGUAUCUACUUCGGAAGGCUGCUAUAAGGGUUAUAAAAGCCAAGCUUUGUGAAGAGCUCAGACCAUCUGCUGUCUCUGAUGAGAAUCUCAGUAGAAGACACUGACCCUCACGGAAAUAAAUUAUUGAACACAUACGAACAGGUAUUCAUAGAAGCUAUCACAACUAAACAAAGGCGAACCGAAUCUCGGAAAGUGGCAGUUCCAGCCUGAUGACUGAAUUUAACUCGAAACAAGAUGAGCGAAGGCGGCAACAUCUCCCAGUGACCAGCAGGGGUCACUCGACAACCAGAAAACGAAUAGAAGGCGCGUGCGUUCCGGCGGCUGAACCGCCGGGGCCAAAGAUGCUCCCGUGCGAGGUAGCAGGAUGUCCUCUGGGGACGCACAGAACCCACUCAACACCCUAACCCAAAACCGAAAAACAGAAACGCACUUCUCAGAAAGGACGUUUUCCUCUGGAUAAAAGGGGCAAACCUGGGGCCCAACUCUGGAGCCCUGCAUGGAGUCGCUGGAACUGGAGUCCACGAGGACGGAAGAGACACAAGGGGAGAAACUCUCUGCUGAGUCGGAUGCAACCUGAUCCGACUUCAGAGACGCAGAACAGAGAGCCCAGCCUCCAGCUGCUCUGUUUCAAUGUCUGCUGUAAACAAAGGUGUGUCCUCAGUGAUGCUUUGUCUUCCGAUUCCUGAAUCAUUCUCUGAGAGGAUCUUCAAGAGGAUGGAUUAGUCGUAAAGGUAGCAGGGAACUUUCCUGAGAAUGUGCUAUAUUUCGCUCUGCCCUGAGGGCUCACUGACCCUGUGAAUGUCUGAUAACCCACAAAGGGGCCCUCCGAUGUGGACAGCACUUUAAGGACGAUGGUAAAACUGAGCUUCUCAGAGCCCAGGUUCGGUAGAUGUAUGCUCUCAACACCCAUGCUGUUUGACUGUAAAUCUCAGGCCAGAGGACAUAAAGGAACUUAAAAUUCAACUGUUCCUAUCACCGUCUGAUGCUCAGGUUCCUUCGAUGGCAGCUCUGUCAGCUGGUGGCCUUGCUGUGGUCGCACGUUACCGUGAUGGGGACCCGUGGGUCUCUUUACAUCUCCACCUGUAAGAGAUGCCGUACGGUUGGCUGGAGAAAACCUCUGUGCCUGGAGGGUCAAUACAGGAAGACUGAUUUCCCCUGACAGUACUUCCCACAUCUGAAGGGCGUUAUUCUGAAUGUCCCAUGUGUGAGUGUUCCCCAGAGAAACAGACCCAUAGGAGAUUUCCUAUAAGAAUUGGCUCACGUGAUUACGGAGGCUGAGAAGGUCUAUGAUCUGCCGUCUGCAAGCUUGGAACCAGGAAAGCUGGUGGUGUGGUUCAAUCUGAGCUGAAGGCCUGAGGCCCUGGGAAGCUGGUGGUGUGAGUUCCGGUCCAAGUCCAAAAGCUCAAGAAUCAGGGGCGGAUGGUAUAGGUCCUGGAGUCUGAAGGCUGAUAUCCGAGGGCAGGGAAGAUGGAUGGCUCGGAGAGAGCGAAUCAGCCCUUCCUGCCCCUUUGUCUUCCAUCCAGGCCCUCGGGAGAUUAGAUGUCAUCUACCCACAACAUCUAAUGAUCAAAGAAGUAAAAAUGAAGAAUAAGUAAUGAACAGAUGACCAGAUGUCUUCCCCAGCUUCCCUUUCAGUUAUCUUGUGAACAAACGGUGUGAACAAGAUAACAUCUAAAGAAAAAUCACGAGGGGUUGACAAGUCUACACACAAUGGGGGAUGGUGAGGACUCUGACCCCCUAUCUCAAUGAGUAACUGAGAGUACUUCACUUUUUCCCUUUAAAAAGUUUAAUGGCCAAGCAGAAUCUUUAGAGUUGGUUUUUGGGGACAUGAAUCACCUUCCCCCCAGACUGUGGGGCUUUUCUGAUUAAAAGCAACUUUCCUUUCUACCAACACUUGCCUCUCAAGCGUUGAUUUUUGAGCAGUGUGCAGCUGGGCCUGAGUUUGGCAACGUUAUUAUUAUUUAUUGUUUAUUUAACAUCUUAGCUGUGGGCUACAAAAAUGCUGAAUACUGCCAUCAGUCACCUGGUGGAUGGCGGUGUUCCCAUCCAGUCUGCUAAAUCUCUGUCAAGUGACAAGAACACAGGGCCUCAGGAUAGGAUGUUUUUGCAGACACAUUGCUUAAACCACAAAGCAGAUCGUGUUGGGGGUCUGGCUCCAAGAAGGGAGUCAAAUGGAAAGAGAUGAGGCCAUAAAAGCAUCAUUAAUGCUGCGUCCUGGGCUCCUGAGUCUGUCAUGCACAUCCUGCAGUGCUUCAGUGCAUUUCUGUUUAAAAGUUGCUUCCUCAGAGUGCAAAUCUUUACUUGCUUUUAUCUUUCUAAACAAAACUUAUAUUCUCAAGUUGAGUUGCACAUUCCCAUAAGAAGAAUCGUGCUGGAUGUGCACAAUAAAGAUAGGGGAUGUUUCUGCCCAAUCUUCCUGUGUGCUUGGUUCAGACAGAAUUGCUCUGCUCUAGGCAGUGAUCUUGGAAGCUGCUGGCCACCGUGGGUUCCUAAAUGGUUUUGGAAGCUGCUGGAAACCAUCGGAAUUCGCAGCAGAAGGGAAACAGCUGUGCUUGCUGCAGGGGAAUUCAGGAUGCGAGCUCCUGGCUCUUCCUCAUUUCAGUCACACUCACAGUGGCUCUGUGCUGAUGGUGAAAAAUGCCUCUUUCCAGUGGGAUUCUGUUACAGCCAUCAAUCUUCAACACACAAAUGGUGAGCUGGUUUCAACCAAGAUAGUUAUUCCUUCACUUGACAACACAUAUCUAACUUUUAAGAUCUAGUUAACCGUUUUCAUUGACCAAAUGAUGUGUAAUUAGCUGUUUUAAAAUUAGGAUGGGGACAGACAUUCUUUUGUAUUCAAGAAGGGACUCUUUGGUCUGAUGUCCAAAGCUGGAGUGUUGCUGCUUCUGGAAAUGUCUUUGUCCUGGUUUCUGUGAUACCACACUCUCCUGGCUAUUUCUCGUCAGUUCUUUUUUUGGCCGGCUUCUACUGGACCUCUAAAUGUCGGACUGAUUCAGUCAGUGCUUGGUCUUUGACCCUCUUCUCUUUUUAGACCUUCUCUAACUAAAUAUUGGGAAAGCAUUAAAUAUUGAUAACUCUUAAAUUUAUAUCUUGACCCCUGACUUCUGCCUUGAUUUUCAUUUUCACAUAUCCAACUCUCUGCCUGAGUCUCCACUUGGAUAUUGAAUUGGAACUUUCUUUUCUUUUUUUAAUAUUUUUUAAUUGAAGUAUAGUUGAUAUUCAAUGUUUUGUUAUUUUCUCUGCACAGUGAACUGAUUCAGCCAGUUUGAAAUUAAAUAUUACGUCUUAAGUAGUCCCGUAAUUCAAGCUGCCCCCUCUCUCCCCCAUCUCUGCUCAAUUCUUUUUUUUUUUUAACAUCUUUAUUGGAGUAUAAUUGCUUUACAAUGGUGUGUUAGUUUCUGCUUUAUAACAAAGUGAAUCAGUUAUACAUAUACAUAUGUUCCCAUAUCUCUUCCCUCUUGCGUCUCCCUCCCUCCCAACCCUCCCUAUCCCACCCCUCUAGGUGAUCACAAAGCACAGAGCUGAUCUCCCUGUGCUAUGCGGUUUUCAAUUCUUGCAUUAAAGAAAUAAAACAAAAAACUCCUCACUGCAAAAGGGAAGACAAUCUUUUUUUCUAAUAGCAGAAAAGUCU